rnacentral:rRNA from 1 species
ACGAACGCUGGCGGCGUGCUUAACACAUGCAAGUCGAGCGGUAAGGCCCUUUCGGGGGUACGACGAGCGGCGAACGGGUGAGUAACACGUGGGUGACCUGCCCUCAGCUCUGGGAUAAGCCUGGGAAACCGGGUCUAAUACUGGAUAUGACUCCAUGACGCAUGUUGUGGGGUGGAAAGCCUUGUGCGGCUGAGGAUGGGCCCGCGGCCUAUCAGCUUGUUGGUGGGGUGANGGCCUACCAAGGCGACGACGGGUAGCCGGCCUGAGAGGGCGACCGGCCACACUGGGACUGAGACACGGCCCAGACUCCUACGGGAGGCAGCAGUGGGGAAGUCUUGCGCAAUGGGCGAAAGCCUGACGCAGCGACGCCGCGUGAGGGAUGACGGCCUCGGUUGUAAC